rnacentral:lncRNA from 1 species
CUACAAGGACGCGCUGUUGUUUUCGUUGCUGUGGGUGUUUUAGUCGCUGAUCUUGUCCAAUUUUCUAGUGUUUUAACUACAAUAUUGUGCGUUUUUUUUCUUUUCCCUCUCUCUCUCUCGCAUGCGCCACAAUGUAAACGCAUCGCGAGCGCAAGUCCCGGAUGGAUGUCGCGAGCAGCCCCGAUACACGUGAUGUCCACGCAGUCGGACAUGCUCGGCGGCGCCUUGUCCGCGCGCGCUGCGCGUGCACGUGCGCACGUGCGUCUCCGAAGGAGCAGCAGCCAGGGGCAGCAAGAGCUGGGGAAACAUUUCUCGCUCCAGACAACAUCCAACACAGGAGCCUGAUGUGAUACCCCUGGCAAUGGAAAGCCCAUCUUGAUGAAGUUAUGCAUGAAAGUUAUGUUAGUCGGAGCCACAGCAAGUCGGUUUGCUCCCACUUUAACAGCAGUUCAGUAGACAGGUGCUGAAAAAGAAAAACGCAGACGUAUUUGAUACAGUUUUACACUGGAGCUUUUCAGCGCUGCACUUUCAAAUCAAAUCAAAUCACUUUGCCACUUCACCAUACCACAAGUGUACAGGUGGUGAAAAUCUUUGGUGCAUUCUCCGCAGCUCUUCGGCAUAAGUUACAAAUGUACGGACCACAAAAAUAUACAGAGUAUACACAAAAAACACCUGUAUAAUGUGGGCAGUAUUCACAUAAUGCAAUAUACACAAUAAACCUUCAGGACUCAAAUAUACA